GACAAAACUGGAACCCGAAACGGUCUCGGUUCCCUUGUCAUCUUCUCCUUUGAAAUCCAAUUCAAUUCAAAAACCCUAAUUUUUAUUAUCCCAAUGCCGCCUUCACAAUCGCAACCCUAAUCCAAUUCCCUUCCACACACCCUUUUAAUUUUUAAAUUCAAUUAUGGACGACGACGCAACGACGUCGUUCGCCGACCACAAGCUCUGCGGCUUCCUCUACGCCGUUCUCGCCGUCACUUCCCCGGCGGACCCACCCGACCUCCCCUUCGGAACGCGCUUCCGCGCAGCUCCCGACGUCAGUUUCAAAUCCCAAAACGACGACGCCGUCGUCCUCUCGCCGGUGCCGGAAAACUCCUCUGAUUCGGAGCAAUGCGAGGGGGAAUUGGGGAGGAGGACGAGGACGAGGAAGAGGAGUAUAGGGCUGGUGAAUGGGAGCAUAAGCGUGGUGCACCAGCUUCACGCUUUGGUGAUGAACAAGUGCAUCAAGAUCGAUGCUUUGUUGGUUCGGGUUGAGGCCGCCGGCGUCGGUGGGCAACAACUCAGGGCUGUGCUGCUGGUUGAUGUCUAUCUUCCGAUUGAGUUAUGGUGUGGUUGGCAGUUUCCGAAAUCGCGGUCUAUUGCCGGGGCUCUGUUUCGACACUUGAGUUCUGACUGGGGGGAGAGAAGUGCAAUGCUGGCUGACAAAGAUUAUCUUGAAAAUAAUCUAGGAGGUGGCAGAAACAUAUGGAAUCUUUCUGACUGUCAUGUUUUUGGUUGCAAACUGCAUCAUAAUUUCACUGAUUCUUCAAAGAAGAAGCUAUUUGAGCUUCAUGAAAUUUUUAAGAGUUUACCUAGUGUGGCAGAGACAGGAAACCCUAGUUCUGCUAGAAUACAACCAGUUGAUGACUCCUGUAAAGCUGGUAUUUGGGAUAUAUCUGAUGACAUAUUACUAAAUAUCCUAGCUACACUCAACCCAAUGGACCUUGUUAGGGUGUCUGCAACUUGUUGCCAUUUGAGAACCUUGGCUGUCUCAAUCAUGCCAUGCAUGAAACUUAAAUUAUUUCCUCAUCAGCAGGUAGCAGUUGAAUGGAUGCUUCAACGUGAGAAAAAGGCUAAAGUUUUGCCCCAUCCAUUGUAUCUGGCUUUCUCAACUGAAGAUGGAUUUUCUUUCUGUAUUAACACUAUUUCUGGAGAAAUUGUCACUGGCGAAGCUCCCACUAUCAGUGAUUUUCAUGGGGGAAUGUUCUGUGAUGAACCUGGACUAGGAAAGACCAUAACUGCUCUUUCACUGAUUCUGAAGACACAAGGAACUCUGGCAACUCCUCCAGAUGGGGUACAAGUGAAUUGGUGUACACAUAAUGGAGACCAGAAAUGUGGUUAUUAUGAGCUUGAUGGUGAUGACGUGGCUGGUAGUAGUAUGCUCCCAAUAAAGAGGGAUAUGGGUCAGAAAGCUCAAAAUGGUCUUGGCGAUUCCAAAUACUGCCGAUCUAAAAGAGCCAGGCUACUUCUUGAUGAGCAAAUUCCAGGAUUCACCAAUUCAUGUCCUGGCAAAGUAAUGGAAACACCAGCAGCUGCAUACUCUAAUUCAGCAGUGUGUGUGGUUCGGUGCAGUAGGAGCUUAAGUGGCAUAAAAAAAGAUCUUCUGCCAUCAUUUCAAGGAGCAUCCAGCUAUCCCAAACAAACAAAGGCUGGAAAAAACUCAAGUAGAUUGUCCAAUGACACCUGGGUUCAGUGUGAUGUAUGCCGUAAGUGGCGGAAGCUUCCAGAAAGUAGUAUUGCUGAUGCUAGCGCGCCAUGGUUCUGUAGCAUGAAUUCUGACCCUUUCUACCAGAGUUGUAGUGUUCCUGAAGAAUCCUAUGAUAAUUCUGAGCCAAUAACGCAUUUACUAGGGUUUUACACCAAGGGAACGGCUGGAGGGGAGGAACAAAAUGUUUCUUUUUUCAUUAGUGUGCUUAAGGAGAGGUAUGCCUUGAUAAAUUCUAUUACAAAGAAAGCCCUAUCUUGGUUGGCUAAACUUUCUUCUGACCAGCUGUCAGUAAUGGAGACAGUUGGUCUGCGAAGUCCUUUUGUAAGCUCUUGUGUAGAGUUGGGUGAUGCCUAUCCGUUUCAGGAAUUAUUUCAAGCAUUUGGUCUCAAAAGAAGGGUAGAAAAGGGUGUUAUUAAAUGGUGUUACCCACGAAGUCUUAACAACAUGAGUUUUGAUGUUGCUGCUCUCAGAAUUGCUCUAUCUGUGCCAUUGAACUCAGUGAGGCGGUAUCUUUCAAGAGCAACUUUAAUUGUUGUCCCAUCAAAUUUAGUUGAUCACUGGGAAACGCAAAUUAAGAAGCAUGUCAGGCCUGGUCAGCUGCGAGUUUAUGUGUGGAGUGACCAUAAGAAGCCUUCUGCACACAGUCUGGCAUGGGACUAUGAUGUUAUCAUAACAACAUUCAGUCGUUUGAGUGCAGAGUGGGGCCCCCGUAAAAAAAGUGCACUGAUGCAAGUGCAUUGGCUUAGAGUCAUGUUAGAUGAGGGGCAUACCCUUGGCCAAAGUCUUAGCUUGACAAACAAAAUGCAAAUGGCAGUUUCAUUGAUGGCUUCAAACCGUUGGAUAUUGACGGGAACUCCGACUCCUAAUACACCCAAUAGUCAACUAUCACACCUUCAACCAUUGCUCAAGUUCCUUCAUGAGGAAUCCUAUGGGCGGAACUAUAAGUCAUGGGAAGCUGGGAUUCUUAGGCCUUUUGAAGCAAAGAUGGAAGAAGGACGAUCACGUUUGUUGCAUUUACUACAUAGGUGCAUGAUUAGUGCUAGAAAGAUAGAUUUGCAGACUAUUCCACCCUGCAUCAAGAAAGCUACUUUUCUUGAUUUUGCUGAGGAACAUGCCAGAAGUUAUAAUGAAUUGGUAGAGACAGUUAGGCGCAAUAUACUAUUGGCUGACUGGAAUGAUGAUUCUCAUGUUGAGAGUCUUCUGAAUCGAAAGCAGUGGAAAUUUCGAAGUACAACUAUCAAAAAUGUUAGGCUAUCUUGCUGUGUGGCCGGGCAUAUAAAAGUAACAGAUGCUGGCGAAGAUAUUCAAGAAACAAUGGAUAUUUUAGUUGAAAAGGGUCUACAUCCCAUGUCAGAGGAGUAUGCUUUUAUAAGAUAUAAUAUUCUUUAUGGUGGCAACUGUGUCAGAUGCAAGGAAUGGUGUCGUUUACCUGUCAUUACGCCGUGCAAGCAUCUUUUGUGCCUCGACUGUGUUGGUUUGGACAGUCAGAGGUGUACUUACCCUGGCUGUGGCAACUUAUAUGAGAUGGAAACUCCUGAUACACUCACUCGGCCAGAAAAUCCAAAUCCUAAGUGGCCUGUUCCCAAGGAUCUUAUUGAGCUACAACCCUCGUAUAAACAGGAUGACUGGGAUCCGGAUUGGCAGUCAACAUCUAGCAGUAAAGUCUCUUAUCUGGUAAGGAGAUUGAAAGCAUUGCAGGAAGCUAAUAGCAAAGUUGAAUGCCCUUCAAAUGAUGAGAAUAGUCCCAUGGACACCAAAAAUCUAAUUUCCCUGCCUGAGAUGGGUGAUUCAAAAGAAUUGAUACAAGUUCAUGGCUUUAGAAGGGAUGCCAAGACUCAUGAAACAAAUUUGGAUAAAGUUUUGGUUUUUUCUCAAUUUCUUGAGCAUAUCCAUGUCAUUGAGCAGCAGUUGACCAUUGCUGGUAUUAAAUAUGCUGGGAUGUAUAGUCCAAUGCAUUCUAGCAACAAGAUGAAGUCACUGGCUACUUUCCAGAAUGAUGCUAGCUGCACAGUUCUUUUGAUGGAUGGAAGUGCUGCAUUGGGUCUCGAUUUGAGCUUUGUAACGCAUGUAUUUUUAAUGGAACCAAUAUGGGACAGGAGGUUAGCGUCCUAUUUUGCAUGGAGGAACAAGUCAUUAGUCGUGCUCAUCGGAUGGGUGCUACUCGUCCUGUACACGUGGAAACUCUGGCGAUGCGUGGCACUAUUGAAGAGCAAAUGCUGGAGUUCUUACAGGAUUCUGAUGAGUGCAGAAGAUUUUUGAAGGAAGAGGCUGGAAAAUCAGACCAAGGGGCACGAACUCAACGUUCCUUACAUGAUUUUGCUGACAGAAAUUAUCUUUCUCAUCUUGGAUUUGUACGGACAAAUCCUCAGAUGUAAAAGCUAAAAGCAGUUCAGUGAGAAACAAGCAGAACGGUGGCGGCAGCAAAUAGGGCAAGAACAUCAGUAGUACAUUGUUCCUGUUAGCGGUGGUUCAGUGACCUGCCAAAGGCUUUGAUUGACCCAACCAGCUUCAUCCUUCUAUUAUUUUGACAUAAAUGUGGUAUUGGAUAUUCUUUUGCCAUAACUUUGGUAUUGGAUAUUCUUUUGCCAUAACUUUGGUAUUGGAUAUUCUUUUGCAGUGAAAGAUUAGGUAGGGUUGUACACUAUUUGUAAGUAUGAAAAAUAGCUUUCCGUGUAAUCUAUAGAAAGAGAAAGCUAGAAAAAAGUUGAUAAAAAUUUUCUGAGCAGCUUUCAGAAAAUUUUCUUAUUUUUUGGUUACCAUGAAAUAAAAGGUGUCAUUGAUGAAUGUGCUUGUA